rnacentral:rRNA from 1 species
AUGUAUAUAUAUAUAGCUCGCUCGUCAGACCAUAUGCAUGCAUUGAUCUUACUUAGUCGUUUGCUCCUGAUCCAGAUGGUCAAAAUCAUGUACACAUUGAGAUUUCACCUUUCUUGUAAGAACAUGUUCUAUAUCCUUGGUGUGUUCCAUUCACGAAUAUUCAAUGAAUUAAGCCGAAAUACUGUACUAGCUUUUCUCAUCUGGAAUGAGAAAAAAAACUACUUGUAUGCUUGUUGUUCUUCCGUACACAAUUCCUUCUUUUUCCUUGAGAGAAGGGCACAUAUUGAUCCAAGGUCUUGCUGA